CUUUGAGUAGAUGACAGACGAAACAAAUUUGUGGUGCGAUACGCCUUCCCCAACUCGAACAUGCCCGUGAGAAACUCCAAAAUCAUAUGUAAACGGGCAGAUAUGAGAUCUAGUGCUCGUCCCAUGCACCAACUAGACCACAAUCGCCAUGAUGAGCGAUCGGCAAACCGAGUACCUGGCGCACAUGCGUUGUCGAGGAGAAGGAGAGUUGUCUGCGGAACGCCCGGGAUAGUCCAAGGUUCCCAGAAAGGAGCCAUGCCAUCAGGUGUAGGAGGUCCUGAUCCACUAAUCCGUGCGUUU